AUCUACAACCACCCCACACAGAGUGUACCUGAUCUCCUGUGAUCUCAGAAAGCUAAGCAGGGUUGGGCUUGGUUAGAACUCAGAAAAUAGAUGGGGCCAUCUUAUAUUAGACCCUGGAAAUGUACAAU
rnacentral:rRNA from 1 species